AUGCGUGACAUGUCUGCUUCCACGCCCGUUGCCAUGUAUGAGAUGGUGUUCAACGACUGCACCGGGCUGCAAGUGCUUCACCUCAUGUUCUGCUGCUGUGCACAUACCACUCUAGUGGUGGAUGCGCCGUGUUCACGUAUCAGGGAGCUCGUCCUCGAAGAGUGCUCGUUUUUUGUGAUCGAGCUGCGCGACCUCCCAAUGCUUGUCCGUCUGGCGUGCUGCCUAACCGACACUUCAAAGAUUCUAUUUGGCUCAGUUCCGAGCCUCAUGGACACUAACCUCUCAUUCUCUCUAGAGGAUGAUAGUAAAGUGGCGGCACGGUGGAUAGAUGAGUUCGACUCAUUCCUCGGUAUGUCCCCCACCAUGACGAACCUUGUCAUCCGAUUUAUUGGGCGGAGAACAUGGAUUCGGCCCAGUCAUCUAGAGAGGAAGUUGCCGCACCUGAAAAAGCUCCUUGUCGCUGACAUGCCUUCAAAUUGGGAUAUCUCAUGGACACGUGGCCUCCUCAUGGCCUCGACAUUUCUCGAAGUCCUGCACAUCCACGUGCCCCACUCAGAAACGGAGCCAGAUUGCCUGCGUGGGAUGAAUUGGUCGAAAUCACGCAAUGAGCUUCGGCACCAUCACCUCAAGGAGCUGGUCGUGAUUGGAUUCACGCAGUGUAACAUAUGGCUUCUGAAGUAUGUUGUGAGGGUGUGCACAUCGUUGCAACGCAUUGUUUUCUGA
rnacentral:rRNA from 1 species